ensembl:lncRNA
UCCUCUGAUGACGUCUCUUCCUGCGUUUGAUGUUGGAACCGCAUGACGAGGCCUCGACCCACUUUCAGUCGACUCAGAGUUCUCCCUCCGUCCAGCAGAGGGCGACACUCUUCCUCUCCAGCCUCCACCUGCUUCCUGCUUCUGUAAAUUCAUCCUGAAAUCAAACCACAUGAGAUAAGUAUUUCCUCCUCCUCCUCCUCCUCCUCCUCCCACAUUCAAAGAGUCACCGGUUUCCAUGGAGACGGGGGGCGUGAUGACCUCAUAUCCAGAAGAACCAGGUCAGGAACAUGCUGACAAUCUGACUGAAACCUGCUCAGCUCCGACCUCAGAGCAACCACAGCCAUGAUGCCACAGCCGGGGGCGGGGCCGCGGUAGCACGCCAGCCGCCAUAUAUGGAAACAGGAAGCAGAGCGGACGACACAGAGAGGAGUCCUUCUGAUUGGUCCGUUUGAACAUCAGAGCUGUUUUAUUAUCAGAUUUACUGUUUAUAUUAAUAAAAUACAAACCUUU